GCUGACAGAAGUAUUUUUUCAUGGACCUCAUGUCCCAUGCUCUAAUCCUGCCAAAGUCUAGUUCGCCUUUCGUCCAGUCAAGGUCGAUAAAAUAAAGUACCAGACAAGUACUCCAUUCCUCCGAUUUUCAGCUUUAUGUUUGUGGCAAGCUGGCAGAACCAUUAGUACAUCAGCUUCAAGAUUAUCAAGUUAUGGAAUUCUUACAGAGCUAGUAUCGUCAAAAUAGGAAAAUCUGGUAUUACUGGGUAUGGGAACAAGGCCAAGAAUUUUGAGAAGAUGUGAGCUGUGCUAAAAUGACUUCUGGAUAAGAACGUUGAAAAAAAAAAGAAAAAAAACGAAAUUGAAGAAAAACAUAUUUUUAAAAAAAAUUGUAAAAUGUAUGAAAAAACAAAAAUUGUGAAAAAGAUGGUAACUUCAAAGUUCAUUUCCAUAAUAGAACCGGACAAGCAAUCACAGGUGGCCGGAUUAUAAGAAGAAAUAGAAAUACACUGAGAAAGAAAAAUAGACAAGAACGUCAUUAAUAGAUAGUAGGAUGCAGUCCAACCAAAAUGAAAUACCUAUAUGUGUAAAAGCAUAUAUAUGUAUAUAUGUGUGUUUGUGUAUGUAUUAUGUAUACAUACAUACGUGUAUAUGUCUGUGUGUGUGAAUGUAUGUAUGCAUACAUACAUAUAUAUACAUUCACAUAUAUG